rnacentral:rRNA from 1 species
AGAGUUUGAUCAUGGCUCAGAUUGAACGCUGGCGGAAUGCUUUACACAUGCAAGUCGAACGGCAGCACGAGAGCUUGCUCUUGGUGGCGAGUGGCGAACGGGUGAGUAAUAUAUCGGAACGUAUCCAAUAAUGGGGGAUAACUAAUCGAAAGGUUGGCUAAUACCGCAUACGCCCUACGGGGGAAAGCAGGGGAUCUUCGGACCUUGCGUUAAUGGAGCGGCUGAUAUCUGAUUAGCUAGUAGGUGAGGUAAAGGCUCACCUAGGCUUCGAUCAGUAGCUGGUCUGAGAGGACGACCAGCCACACUGGAACUGAGACACGGUCCAGACUCCUACGGGAGGCAGCAGUGGGGAAUUUUGGACAAUGGGCGCAAGCCUGAUCCAGCCAUUCCGCGUGAGUGAAGAAGGCCUUCGGGUUGUAAAGCUCUUUCGCAAGGGAAGAAACGUUACGAGCGAAUAACUCGUGAUAAUGACGGUACCUUGAUAAGAAGCACCGGCUAACUACGUGCCAGCAGCCGCGGUAAUACGUAGGGUGCGAGCGUUAAUCGGAAUUACUGGGCGUAAAGCGUGCGCAGGCGGUUUUGUAAGUCAGAUGUGAAAUCCCCGAGCUCAACUUGGGAACUGCGUUUGAAACUACAAGGCUAGAGUAUGGUAGAGGGGGGUAGAAUUCCACGUGUAGCAGUGAAAUGCGUAGAGAUGUGG